rnacentral:rRNA from 1 species
CCUACGGGAGGCAGCAGUGAGGAAUAUUGGUCAAUGGCCGGAAGGCUGAACCAGCCAAGCCGCGUGAAGGACGAAGGUGCCAAGCAUUGUAAACUUCUUUUGUCAAGGGACAAAAUCAGGCUCGAGAGCCUGACCGAGGGUACUUGAAGUAAAAGCAUCGGCUAACUCCGCUCCAGCAGCCGCGGUAAUACGGGGGAUGCGAGAGUUACCCGGAUUUAUUGGGUUAAAGGGGUGCGUAGGCGGGCUGUUUAGUCAGCGGUAAAAGCCCGGGGCGAAACCCCGGCGAGCCGUUGAAACUGGCUGUCUUGAGAUGGCGAGAGGUAUGCGGAAUGCGCAGUGUAGCGGUGAAAUGCUUAGAUAUUGCGAAGAACUCCGAUUGCGAAGGCAGCAUACCGGCGGCGAUCUGACGCUGAGGCACGAAAGCGUGGGUAUCGAACAGGAUUAGAUACCCGGGUAGUC